GUCCUUACCUGGUGGGGGAGGGGGGUACUGUGAUCAUCGCGGUGGUCUUCCCACUCUGAGGCUCAACUCAUUGAAUUCCAGAUCUGAUACGUCUGCAAUUUCCCCAAACUCGGGCAUUGAGACUAUAUCAUUUGUGGUACCAGGGACAGUAUCCGCACCUUCCUCU
ensembl:snRNA Gm26046 predicted gene, 26046